rnacentral:rRNA from 1 species
GACGAACGCUGGCGGCGUGCCUAAUACAUGCAAGUUGAGCGCUGAAGGUUGGUACUUGUACUGACUGGAUGAGCAGCGAACGGGUGAGUAACGCGUGGGGAAUCUGCCUUUGAGCGGGGGACAACAUUGGGAAACGAAUGCUAAUACCGCAUAAAAACUUUAAACACAAGUUUUAAGUUUGAAAGAUGCAAUUGCAUCACUCAAAGAUGAUCCCGCGUUGUAUUAGCUAGUUGGUGAGGUAAAGGCUCACCCAGGCGAUGAUACAUAGCCGACCUGAGAGGGUGAUCGGCCACAUUGGGACUGAGACACGGCCCAAACUCCUACGGGAGGCAGCCGUAGGGAAUCUUCGGCAAUGGACGAAAGUCUGACCGAGCAACGCCGCGUGAGUGAAGAAGGUUUUCGGAUCGUAAAACUCUGUUGGUAGAGAAGAACGUUGGUGAGAGUGGAAAGCUCAUCAAGUGACGGUAACUACCCAGAAAGGGACGGCUAACUACGUG